rnacentral:lncRNA from 1 species
GAGGUCACAUGGGCUUGUCCUUUUUUGUAGUAGUGGGUGAUAGCUGGCUAUUCAUUACAGUCUACAGAUUUAGACCGUUCUCUUUAAAAUUGGAAUCACCUUUGUUUUAUUUCUCCUUGAUUGGCGGCGGGCAUGACAUGAUGAAGCUCUGGUAACGCCAUGUUUGGCCGUAGAGCCUUGUUUAUUUAUACAAAUAAAUAAAUAAAUGGGCUGGGCUGUUUUGGGCUGAUAUUAUAGUUUACCAAAAAGUGUGAAGGCUAAACCCACCCACACCCGUCAAACUCGUGGAUUCUUCGUACCGGGUGCUGGACAUGGAGGCCUUGCUCCCACCAUCAUCAUUUUCAGCACCACUGCCCUCAUCAUUAUUUUAUCUCUCACCACCACCACCACCACCACCACCGUCGUCACCACAACCACUUCUUUUUAUCCAAUUGGUCACUUCACAGUUUGAACUUUCAGGUCUCUGAUUCUAGCGACAAAUGUUGCUGCCGAUGCCCGGUAAGUUUUAUUCGACCCAGUCCUAUACUAAUUGUAAGGUCAUGAUAUUUUUUCUAUUUGGGUCGGCUAAAUUGGGCUCACUUAUUUUAAUCCGUUGGGCUUUUAUAUUUAAGUCAUGGGGUUCGUUGGGCCCAAUCGGUAUGUUAGCUUUAUUUAAUCCUAUAAGACCGGGUCCGUUCGUUGGAUUAACCCAUUGGGUCACUUAAUAUCUAUUACUUUGACUUGUAAUGAUGAUAUAGCAUGACAUGGUAGUGGAUGGCAUAGUAAUCCAGGCAAAGAUAUUAUUUUUUGGCGAGUAAGUCUUCACAAGGAGGUACGUUUCUUCAUAUAUUCACAUACACACAACUGAUAAUAAUAAUCUCUCUCAUCACACUAGAUUUUAUCAUCUUCUUGAGUUAACUUUGUGAACAGACAUACUUACUCUCACGCCUGAGUUAUCCCCCGGCGGUCCGGCCGUCAAGCUUGUGGUGUUUGUCGUGUUUACUGUGCAGGAUCAGGACGUUUUUCGUGAUUGGAACGUGGAGAAAAAUCCUGGCGUUAACACUAAUCCUUCUAGUUUAUCGAAUAAAUGUCAAACUAUAUAUUGAUCUUCACCAUAAUUGAGCUAUUUCACAUGUUGAGGAUUAUACAUGGGUUGCAGUUUGUAGCUAUAAUAGUAUAUAAAGUCCUGGGUUGUCCAUUUUUUUAUGGAGGUGAUUUUUUUGGGGUUAUAAUAUUUAAUAUAAAUUACCUAUAUUUGAAUCAAUCCCAAAAAAUUGAAAAUUAAUUAUUUGUAAAAAGGUUACUCCACUUUAAAGCAAAAAAAAUUCAGCAAAUUCAAACAUCUUUGACUAAUAAUGCUCUUAAAUUAUGCUGUAAAGCAGUGUCACAAAUUUUAAAAUGCAAGGGCUAAAUUGGUAAGUUAGUGUUAAAAGUGCAAAUAUUCAUUAAGAAAUUAGUUUGUUAGUCUUUCAAGUAAGAAGAUUUAAGCACCACCAAGGGGAAGGGAUUAUGUUAGUUUUAAUAAAGAAAGCUUAAAUUAUGUUUUGCUCAUUUGAUGUAAUUAAGUUUUUCCCAGUCUAGUUAACAUGUCUACAGGAUGAUUUUUCCCAGUCCCAUCAUUUGAUCUAUAAUUUUGGGGGGAUUGGUUAGCAUGAAGUGAACUUUCAUUUCAUGCCCAAUGCAGUACUGACACGCGAGCGAAAGAGUGAUCUCUCCGUCUGCGUGUCAGCACUGUAUUGGACAUAAUGUGAACUUACUAUAAAGUUCACUUCAUACUAACUUCAUCCAAUUUUGGGAAUGUCUUCCAGAGGGGAAUGAGGAGGGAUUGGAAGCAAAGAGGAAGAGGAGUAUCUUUUUUGUUCUAACCGAUGAAUGGAAGGAAAGAGUUGUUUGCAAAAUCUGAAGCUAAAGGAGAUUAGUAGUUCCUGUUUCCUCUGCUUUUAUCUUUGUAUUAACAUUAGGAAACUGAUUAGUUUUUUUUUUUUUGUUUUGAUGAGUUUGUUAAAGGCUUAUGACAUGACAUGAGAAGAAUGUAGUAGUGUAUUAAUUUAGCCUUCCUUCUGUUAAUUUAUAUGUGAAAUCGUCCAUUUUUCAAGUAUGGUAAAGAGUUGUAUCUUGUUUUUAAUUAUGAAUUUGAAAUUGUAAUCUAUACCAAGAGUAUUCUUAUUUUCUUCUUAAUUGGUAUAUAUUGAUCUCAAG